rnacentral:rRNA from 1 species
GUCUAUCUAAAUGUCAUAACGACUCUCGGCAACGGAUAUCUCGGCUCUCGCAUCGAUGAAGAACGUAGCGAAAUGCGAUACUUGGUGUGAAUUGCAGAAUCCCGUGAACCAUCGAGUCUUUGAACGCAAGUUGCGCCCGAAGCCGUCAGGCCGAGGGCACGUCUGCCUGGGCGUCACGCAUCGCGUCGCCCCCCCUCCCCUCGCACCGCGCAGAGGC